rnacentral:sRNA from 1 species
CCUGGAGAGACCCAGUGAGUACAACUGGCUUCAGAGAAUCAUACAUUCCAAAGUACAGACCACGGUAGACAAUGAUUCCAACACAUGAGAUGUUAAAUCCACGGUACAACCCAGCAAUGCCAUCUGACUUGAGAGUCUUGCGGUAAACAUCCACAAGGCCAUUGAACUGCCUUUCACCUCCUCCCUUGGCAGCCUUCGCAUCAUUGGCCAACCUUGUCCUAGCAUAGUCAAGGGAGUAC